UACGAAGGGGGCUAGCGUUGCUCGGAAUCACUGGGCGUAAAGCGCACGUAGGCGGAUUGUUAAGUCAGGGGUGAAAUCCUGGAGCUCAACUCCAGAACUGCCUUUGAUACUGGCAAUCUUGAGUCCGGGAGAGGUGAGUGGAACUGCGAGUGUAGAGGUGAAAUUCGUAGAUAUUCGCAAGAACACCAGUGGCGAAGGCGGCUCACUGGCCCAGUACUGACGCUGAGGUGCGAAAGCGUGGGGAGCAAACAGG
rnacentral:rRNA from 1 species